CUUCACCGACCCCAACCACACCGGCCGCUCCCCCGAACGACCCUGCCCGUACGUGGCGAGCAACGCCUGCGCCUC
rfam:Streptomyces avermitilis MA-4680 = NBRC 14893 DNA, complete genome.